rnacentral:rRNA from 1 species
GUGAGGAAUAUUGGACAAUGGGCGCAAGCCUGAUCCAGCCAUGCCGAGUGCAGGAAGACGCAUCUAUGGUGUGUAAACUGCUUUUGUACGGGAAGAAACACUCCCUCGUGAGGGAGCUUGACGGUACCGCAAGAAUAAGGAUCGGCUAACUCCGUGCCAGCAGCCGCGGUAAUACGGAGGAUCCAAGCGUUAUCCGGAAUCAUUGGGUUUAAAGGGUCCGUAGGCGGUUUAAUAAGUCAGUGGUGAAAGCCCAUCGCUCAACGAUGGAACUGCCAUUGAUACUGUUAGACUUGAAUUACAAGGAAGUAACUAGAAUAUGUAGUGUAGCGGUGAAAUGCUUAGAUAUUACAUGGAAUACCAAUUGCGAAGGCAGGUUACUACUUGUGGAUUGACGCUGAUGGACGAAAGCGUGGGGAGCGAACAGGAUUAGAAACCCGUGUAGUCC